AUUACCUAACUAAUCAACCAUAUAACAAAACUAUGUAUCAUAAUAACAAUGAAAACGAAAUAAAAGAUUACAAAAGCAAAACAAAAAACAAUGAACAGUGUAAUAACAAUUGGAUGCUUUACACAACUGAAAAUAAUGAUUCUUGUGAAGUUAAUGAUUCAUCAACUAUCAAUGAAAACAAAAGUAUAGAACAACGUGGUUUUAUUAAUUUUAUGGAAAGUAAUAAUAAUUUAAUGGUAAAUCCUAGUAGUUAUAAUUUCCAAAAUAAGCAGAAUAUAAACGCUAAAUCUGUCAAAAAUGGUGUUAUAAUAAGAGAUGGUGAUUUAACUGAUAAUAUGUGUUAUAAAACAAAUAAUGGCACCGUUGGUCAUACAUUUAGUGAUAAAACUGGCGAAAACAUCACAAACGAUAUGAAUGACCUAUCCUUAAGAAUGUUUCAAAAUAUAUUUGUUUUACUAUGUACAGAUAAUCAUCAUGAUAAUAAAAAAGAGAUGUUAUCUGUAGAUUAUACUAAUGAUAACGAUAAAUUCCAUCUUAAUAAUGAAAUAAUAUCAAAAUUUGAUAAUCAAGUCUUAUACAAUAAUGACAAAAUAUAUAUAGAUUAUAAAGCUUUGAUAAGCGAUAUAAAAAAUUACAUACUAACUGAAUCUGUGAAAAUAAAUACAAAUGUAGAAUGUGCUAAAUUAAUAAAAAAACUAAUAAAAAUUAAAAAUGAUUAUAUACGUGUAAAAGAUUAUUAUGUAGAAAAAAAUAACAUAAAUGUAAAAUCUUUGGGUGAAUGUGAUAAAGUUAUGCUGUUAGAAAAAAUUAUAAAAACAUAUUACUUUUUUUUAGGCUUAAAUUCUUAUUACGAGACAAAAUUUAAAAAAAUUCAAACACUAAUAAUUCAAAUAAUGGCAUAUAAAAUUAUCCAAUUUUUAAAAAAACAUGAUAAUAUACAACAUAUAAAAAAAACUAUAGUUGAAAAAAACAUUUCAAUAGUUAAAGAUAUUCAAUUAUGUAAUAAGAAUCAAAAAAUGAUUCAAGAGAAAUUUAACUUAUUAAAGCAAAAAAUGAUUUUACACAAUUCGUUA
rnacentral:lncRNA from 1 species